rnacentral:rRNA from 1 species
UCGACGAACAUUUAGAACAGAUUACUUCGGUUUGAAGUUCUUUAUGACUGAGUGGCGGACGGGUGAGUAACGCGUGGGUAACCUGCCUUGUACUGGGGGAUAGCAGCUGGAAACGGCUGGUAAUACCGCAUAAGCGCACAAUGUUGCAUGACAUGGUGUGAAAAACUCCGGUGGUAUAAGAUGGACCCGCGUCUGAUUAGCUAGUUGGUGAGAUAACAGCCCACCAAGGCGACGAUCAGUAGCCGACCUGAGAGGGUGACCGGCCACAUUGGGACUGAGACACGGCCCAGACUCCUACGGGAGGCAGCAGUGGGGAAUAUUGCACAAUGGAGGAAACUCUGAUGCAGCGACGCCGCGUGAGUGAAGAAGUAAUUCGUUAUGUAAAGCUCUAUCAGCAGGGAAGAUAGUGACGGUACCUGACUAAGAAGCUCCGGCUAAAUACGUGCCAGCAGCCGCGGUAAUACGUAUGGAGCAAGCGUUAUCCGGAUUUACUGGGUGUAAAGGGAGUGUAGGUGGCCAUGCAAGUCAGAAGUGAAAAUCCGGGGCUCAACCCCGGAACUGCUUUUGAAACUGUAAGGCUGGAGUGCAGGAGGGGUGAGUGGAACUCCUAGUGUAGCGGUGAAAUGCGUAGAUAUUAGGAGGAACACCAGUGGCGAAGGCGGCUCACUGGACUGUAACUGACACUGAGGCUCGAAAGCGUGNGGAGCAAACAGGAUUAGANACCCUGGUAGUC